rnacentral:rRNA from 1 species
UACGUAGGGGGCAAGGCGUUGUCCGGAUUUAUUGGGCGUAAAGAGCGUGUAGGCGGCCAGAUAGGUCCGUUGUGAAAACUGGAGGCUUAACCUCCAGCGGUCGAUGGAACCAUUUGGCUAGAGUCCGGAAGAGGAGAGUGGAAUUCCUGGUGAGCGGUGAAAUGCGCAGAUAUCAGGAAGAACACCCGUGGCGAAGGCGGCUCUCUGGGACGGUACUGACGCUGAGACGCGAAGCGUGGGAGCGAACAGG